UACGUAGGGACCAAGCGUUGUUCGGAUUUACUGGGCGUAAAGGGCGCGUAGGCGGCUUGUCAAGUCACUUGUGAAAUCUCUGGGCUUAACCCAGAACGGCCAAGUGAAACUGUCAUGCUAGAGUGCAGAAGGGGCAAUCGGAAUUCCUGGUGUAGCGGUGAAAUGCGCAGAUAUCAGGAGGAACACCGGUGGCGAAGGCGGGUCUCUGGGCCGAUACUGACGCUGAGGAGCGAAAGCGUGGGGAGCGAACAGG
rnacentral:rRNA from 1 species